rnacentral:ncRNA from 1 species
CCCGGUCUUCAGGGCGGGGUGCAAUUCCCCACCGGCGGUAAGUCGACAGACGAGCCCGCGAGCGCCUUGGCCAUGCCAAGGGUCAGCAGACCUGGUGAGAUUCCAGGGCCGACGGUCAUAGUCCGGAUGAAAGAAGGCGUCA